AGAGACUUCCGGCAGCUGCUAGAGAGAUUCUUUGGUACAAAGCAGGUGGCAGAUCCUCCAGGACUUGGUCAUCCACCAUGAAUCUGUCAUCUGGAAACAACCCAGAGAGCUCAGGAGCCAAGUCUAAGUACAGCGAGAGAUUCCAUGGGCGGCACUGGCGGUCUGAAUCAUGUUGGAUUUUCAGCUGUACCAAGCCCUGUGACCUUCUCCCAUGCACACAGACCCGUCCUAGCAAGACCUGCUGGUUAGCUGGACAUGCUUUGACAAUUUUUUAUGCUAUUGGGUAACCACAAAGGCAUGGCAUUUGUUGUGACUGGUGCCCAGUGUUUUGAAUUCAGUUCUCUUUAAAAAUUAUACCAUUAAAAUUAAGGUAGGGGAGUGUUCUGUUUCCCACUACGUUACUACUCAGCCUCCUUCCAGACUUUCUAUACCAGUUGCACCUCAAACUGGGGAUGCUGUGAACUCCCCAUCUUGAUCCCCACUCAAGACCUCCUUCAGCAGGUCUGUCUCACCUGUGGUUUUCCCCAUUUUGUUUUUUUUAUCAGUGCUUAAUGUGAACUAAACCUUUUACUUCCAUAAGACAGAAGCCACUCCCCCUGGCCUCCCCACUUUGAAUCACUGGGGCCUAGAGCAGGGGCUCAGGAAUGACCGCAUGCUAUCUUCAUGGUCUGUCCCGGGGCACAAGCAUCUCUGAACAGGGAAAUGAUCCAAGAUUGGACAUAGCUGCCUUUGUGUAUCAGGUCCUGAGGCUGGGGGCAUUACAAAUGGUCAGGCUCCCUCCUCCUCCCCUGCCACGGGGAAACACUCCCUUAUUUAUCAGUGUCCUUUCCCUGCCCCUUCCCAAGCGCUCACAGGAGAGUGUGUAUUUUAGAAGCCCCAUCGGUACAGGUUUUCAGUGACUCAGAAUGCUCUACUGCCUUUUCUUUAAGAAAGGAUUGAGAUACACUCCUACCGUGCCCCCUUCCCUCGAGACUCCUGCCUGUGUUUGUGUGGACCCCCGAGCCCCAGAGCCACGCUGUUAGAUGGACACACUGUAAACCCCUGGGUGACUGUCAAAUGAUGAUGCGGACUUGAGGUCAUUCUGUAUAAAAUACAAAAUAAAUGUUUUUAUUAACAAUG